UGCUGUUAAAGCGUGGAGCUUAACUCCAUAUCGGCGGUGGAAACUGAUGAACUAGAGGGUGGUAGGGGUCACGGGAAUUCCCAGUGUAGCGGUGAAAUGCGUAGAUAUUGGGAAGAACACCAGCGGCGAAAGCGCGUGACUGGGCCAUUACUGACACUCAUGGACGAAAGCUAGGGGAGCGAAAGGGAUUAGAUACCCCUGUAGUCCUAGCCGUAAACGAUGGACACUAGGUGUUGCCCGAUCGACCCGGGCAGUGCCGUAGCUAACGCGUUAAGUGUCCCGCCUGGGGAGUACGCACGCAAGUGUGAAACUCAAAGGAAUUGACGGGGGCCCGCACAAGCGGUGGAGUAUGUGGUUUAAUUCGAUGCAACGCGAAGAACCUUACCAGGGCUUGACAUGUCGCGAAUCCCCUUGAAAGGGGGGAGUGCCUUCGGGAGCGCGAGCACAGGUGGUGCAUGGCUGUCGUCAGCUCGUGUCGUGAGAUGUUGGGUUAAGUCCCGCAACGAGCGCAACCACGUUUCUAGUUGCCAGCAUUCAGUUGGGCACUAUAAAAAGACUGGCGGGACCAACCGGAGGA
rnacentral:rRNA from 1 species